UACGAAGGGGGCUAGCGUUGCUCGGAAUCACUGGGCGUAAAGGGUGCGUAGGCGGUUUGUCGCGUCUGCCGUGAAAGCCCCGGGCUCAACCUGGGAAUUGCGAUGGAGACUGCAAGGCUUGAAUCUGGCAGAGGGGGGUAGAAUUCCACAUGUAGCAGUGAAAUGCGUAGAGAUGUGGAGGAACACCGAUGGCGAAGGCAGCCCCCCUGGGUCAAGAUUGACGCUCAUGCACGAAGCGUGGGGAGCAAACAGG
rnacentral:rRNA from 1 species